UACGUAGGCAGCGAGCGUUGUUCGGAGUUACUGGGCGUAAAGCGUGCGUAGGCGGUGUCUUAGGUUUGUUGUGAAAUCUCCCGGCUUAACCGGGAGGGUGCGGCGAAUACUGAGAUGCUGGAGUACGGGAGAGGUAAGCGGAAUUCCUGGUGUAGCGGUGAAAUGCGUAGAUAUCAGGAGGAACACCUGCGGUGUAGACGGCUUACUGGACCGUAACUGACGCUGAGGCACGAAAGCGUGGGUAGCAAACAGG
rnacentral:rRNA from 1 species